rnacentral:misc_RNA from 1 species
GGUUCGGGUAAAUAGUUCCAA